GGGUUGUGAGGUUAAGCGACUAAGCGUACACGGUGGAUGCCCUGGCAGUCAGAGGCGAUGAAGGACGUGCUAAUCUGCGAUAAGCGUCGGUAAGGUGAUAUGAACCGUUAUAACCGGCGAUUUCCGAAUGGGGAAACCCAGUGUGUUUCGACACACUAUCAUUAACUGAAUCCAUAGGUUAAUGAGGCGAACCGGGGGAACUGAAACAUCUAAGUACCCCGAGGAAAAGAAAUCAACCGAGAUUCCCCCAGUAGCGGCGAGCGAACGGGGAGCAGCCCAGAGCCUGAAUCAGUAUGUGUGUUAGUGGAAGCGUCUGGAAAGGCGCGCGAUACAGGGUGACAGCCCCGUACACAAAAAUGCACAUAUUGUGAGCUCGAUGAGUAGGGCGGGACACGUGGUAUCCUGUCUGAAUAUGGGGGGACCAUCCUCCAAGGCUAAAUACUCCUGACUGACCGAUAGUGAACCAGUACCGUGAGGGAAAGGCGAAAAGAACCCCGGCGAGGGGAGUGAAAAAGAACCUGAAACCGUGUACGUACAAGCAGUGGGAGCACGCUUAGGCGUGUGACUGCGUACCUUUUGUAUAAUGGGUCAGCGACUUAUAUUCUGUAGCAAGGUUAACCGAAUAGGGGAGCCGAAGGGAAACCGAGUCUUAACUGGGCGUUAAGUUGCAGGGUAUAGACCCGAAACCCGGUGAUCUAGCCAUGGGCAGGUUGAAGGUUGGGUAACACUAACUGGAGGACCGAACCGACUAAUGUUGAAAAAUUAGCGGAUGACUUGUGGCUGGGGGUGAAAGGCCAAUCAAACCGGGAGAUAGCUGGUUCUCCCCGAAAGCUAUUUAGGUAGCGCCUCGUGAAUUCAUCUCCGGGGGUAGAGCACUGUUUCGGCAAGGGGGUCAUCCCGACUUACCAACCCGAUGCAAACUGCGAAUACCGGAGAAUGUUAUCACGGGAGACACACGGCGGGUGCUAACGUCCGUCGUGAAGAGGGAAACAACCCAGACCGCCAGCUAAGGUCCCAAAGUCAUGGUUAAGUGGGAAACGAUGUGGGAAGGCCCAGACAGCCAGGAUGUUGGCUUAGAAGCAGCCAUCAUUUAAAGAAAGCGUAAUAGCUCACUGGUCGAGUCGGCCUGCGCGGAAGAUGUAACGGGGCUAAACCAUGCACCGAAGCUGCGGCAGCGACGCUUAUGCGUUGUUGGGUAGGGGAGCGUUCUGUAAGCCUGUGAAGGUGUGCUGUGAGGCAUGCUGGAGGUAUCAGAAGUGCGAAUGCUGACAUAAGUAACGAUAAAGCGGGUGAAAAGCCCGCUCGCCGGAAGACCAAGGGUUCCUGUCCAACGUUAAUCGGGGCAGGGUGAGUCGACCCCUAAGGCGAGGCCGAAAGGCGUAGUCGAUGGGAAACAGGUUAAUAUUCCUGUACUUGGUGUUACUGCGAAGGGGGGACGGAGAAGGCUAUGUUGGCCGGGCGACGGUUGUCCCGGUUUAAGCGUGUAGGCUGGUUUUCCAGGCAAAUCCGGAAAAUCAAGGCUGAGGCGUGAUGACGAGGCACUACGGUGCUGAAGCAACAAAUGCCCUGCUUCCAGGAAAAGCCUCUAAGCAUCAGGUAACAUCAAAUCGUACCCCAAACCGACACAGGUGGUCAGGUAGAGAAUACCAAGGCGCUUGAGAGAACUCGGGUGAAGGAACUAGGCAAAAUGGUGCCGUAACUUCGGGAGAAGGCACGCUGAUAUGUAGGUGAAGUCCCUCGCGGAUGGAGCUGAAAUCAGUCGAAGAUACCAGCUGGCUGCAACUGUUUAUUAAAAACACAGCACUGUGCAAACACGAAAGUGGACGUAUACGGUGUGACGCCUGCCCGGUGCCGGAAGGUUAAUUGAUGGGGUUAGCCGCAAGGCGAAGCUCUUGAUCGAAGCCCCGGUAAACGGCGGCCGUAACUAUAACGGUCCUAAGGUAGCGAAAUUCCUUGUCGGGUAAGUUCCGACCUGCACGAAUGGCGUAAUGAUGGCCAGGCUGUCUCCACCCGAGACUCAGUGAAAUUGAACUCGCUGUGAAGAUGCAGUGUACCCGCGGCAAGACGGAAAGACCCCGUGAACCUUUACUAUAGCUUGACACUGAACAUUGAGCCUUGAUGUGUAGGAUAGGUGGGAGGCUUAGAAGUGUGGACGCCAGUCUGCAUGGAGCCGACCUUGAAAUACCACCCUUUAAUGUUUGAUGUUCUAACGUUGACCCGUAAUCCGGGUUGCGGACAGUGUCUGGUGGGUAGUUUGACUGGGGCGGUCUCCUCCUAAAGAGUAACGGAGGAGCACGAAGGUUGGCUAAUCCUGGUCGGACAUCAGGAGGUUAGUGCAAUGGCAUAAGCCAGCUUGACUGCGAGCGUGACGGCGCGAGCAGGUGCGAAAGCAGGUCAUAGUGAUCCGGUGGUUCUGAAUGGAAGGGCCAUCGCUCAACGGAUAAAAGGUACUCCGGGGAUAACAGGCUGAUACCGCCCAAGAGUUCAUAUCGACGGCGGUGUUUGGCACCUCGAUGUCGGCUCAUCACAUCCUGGGGCUGAAGUAGGUCCCAAGGGUAUGGCUGUUCGCCAUUUAAAGUGGUACGCGAGCUGGGUUUAGAACGUCGUGAGACAGUUCGGUCCCUAUCUGCCGUGGGCGCUGGAGAACUGAGGGGGGCUGCUCCUAGUACGAGAGGACCGGAGUGGACGCAUCACUGGUGUUCGGGUUGUCAUGCCAAUGGCACUGCCCGGUAGCUAAAUGCGGAAGAGAUAAGUGCUGAAAGCAUCUAAGCACGAAACUUGCCCCGAGAUGAGUUCUCCCUGACUCCUUGAGAGUCCUGAAGGAACGUUGAAGACGACGACGUUGAUAGGCCGGGUGUGUAAGCGCAGCGAUGCGUUGAGCUAACCGGUACUAAUGAACCGUGAGGCUUAACCUUACAACGCCGAAGGUGUUU
rnacentral:rRNA from 1 species